rnacentral:lncRNA from 1 species
AUGCUAACAGGAGGCCAGGGAAAGCCGCUGCGUGCCCGGUGCUGGCUGACUCUAAUUGAGUUUUCGGACAUCUGCUCUCAGGCUCUCGGAGAUAAUGGGGAAUUCUGCUUAGAGAUGGAGCCACACAAGAAGGGGAAGGUAAGGCAGAAUCUCUGUAACCGGAUGACCCCAUUAAAGGAUUCUGGAGAACUACAAACACGGCAUCCCCCGCCCCCAAACACCACUGGACCGGAGGCCAGCAAGACACAUCACAGAGUUACUCCUCUAACAAACAUAUAAACAGAAUAGCCACCCUGAGAAGAAGAUUCUGUUUAUUGUGCUGAAUCAGACACUGUGCCUUCUGGUUGAAGCUGACCUUGUCAGUGAGUUGCCUGUCAUCCCCUCAGACCCCUCUACCACAUUGGCCAAGACAUACCUUCCGGUUUGUGUCCACUCUCCACAGCCAGCAUCUGUGUCACUCAUCCAAGGGCUGUUCUCAGGUGCCCACUUUGCCCGCUUUGUAAGUCAGGAGACUCGGAUGUGAUGGGUCUCUCACCUCAGGUAGCCCUUAAGCAGUAACAGGCAGGUGCGAGGGUGUCAGUACUCUCGCUCCCUUGGUGCUCGUGGAAACCACUCCAAUGGGUAAACUAUGUGAUCUUCAGUGCUUCCCUGCAAGGCUGAGCCAAAGUUACUGCUGUGGUUUUAAAAUAUGUCCAUAAAUUCUUUGACACUCCUCCCUUCAAAACAUGGAGCCCAAUUCCCUUUCCCUUAAAUGCAGGCCAGACAGUGACUUGCUUCCAAAGAAUAGAAGAUGAGGGAAGUUAUGCUAGGUGACAUCCAAGGCUGAGUCAUAAAAGGCCUGGCUCCUGCCUGGCUCUCUCUCUUGGACUCUGCACUCGGGAGACACCCACGUCGUGAGGACAGUUAGGCAGUUUGGGAGGGCCCCUGUGGAGAGGAACUGAGGCCUCCCACCACCAGCCAGCACCCACUCACCAGCCAUGUGAGUCAGCUGCCUCACAAGGCAUCCUCCCACCCCAGACGAACCUUCAAGGGAUGCAGCCCCUGAGGACAUCGUGCUCGCAAGCACGUGAGAGACCCUGAGCCAGCGCUGCCUGGCCAUGCCUCUCCUGACAUCCUGACCCACUUAAAUUCUGAGGGAAUAUAAAUGUAUAUUUGAGGCAAUUUGUUACACAGAAAUAUAGAAAGGAUAGGGUUUCUCUCCAGGGGCCUUUGGUCAACACUGUGCCCUUGCUAGUCUCUUACCCCUCUAAUUGUGCUUUCCUGUCCCCUGUAGGUUUUCCCUGGGAGCAUGUCCUAAUAAAUCUCUUUCACAAGAAUCCUCCUCUCA